CCAUGAACCGGACUCGGGCUUAAAGAACGAACGCGGCCGAUACGAGUGGCCACGAAACGCUGCCGGAAUCGACCGUCGUGAGCAGCAUUUCUCCUCUUGGCAGCGAAGACUCCGAAAAAAGGCGGUAUAAAAACGAGUCAUCAGUAGCACACCUUUUUGGCCUUCCCUUCUCCUGCUCAGCGACUCGCUCUCACUCUCUCAGCCGUUGGUCUGCUACCUGAUGGCGGGUCACAACGCGCACUUAUACGCAGUGUUAUACAUUAUAUAUUUUGAGCCUGUUCGUAUAAGUCUUUUGAGGAUCGCAAGUGGAGGUGGCAAUGGGGAGAAACUACCCGAAGUUUGUCUCCCUCCUAGGCACCCCCUAUUUUUAGUUUUUGUUCUUGUAACAGCAAUUGUUGCAGUAACAUUACUGGCACACACACACACAAAGGCAGGACUCACGCACACGAGCACUUCUACGUGAGACAGCAAAUGCAUGCGCCAUGCGUGUGCGCCACCCAAACGCCAAAGGUGCAAGCGAAAGGGCCAAAAUGUUUGAGCGAGAGGCAGACAGCUACGAGAGUACCAAAAAAAAGGCCAAAAC